GGCGGUUGCUCUUCCCAUCUGUUGCGUUUUGUACAGCUCGAAAGCAUAAUAUCAGAACAGAUCGCAGCGGAGCGAGGGCUUACUACGAGAAGGGGAAGCAACUCUCAGAUCUGAGGAAGGUAUGAGCCUCCGCCAGCGAGGAAACUGGCCAGGAUCCGGCGGUGGCUACGGCACGGAGUCCCCCGUGCCUCCCCAUGCGACGGCCGAGGGCUCCGGGGAGGAGGGGGAGGAUGCUUUCAACAUUAUUCCCAUCCAUAACUUCCUGGCGGAUCAUCCGUCGCUCCGCUUCCCGGAGGUGCGAGCCGCCAUGGCUGCGCUGCGCGCCGUCGGGGAGCUCCGGAAGCCGCCCUUCGUCCGCUGGCACGACGGCCUCGACCUCUUCGACUGGCUCGGGGCCUUCUUCGGCUUUCAGCGCGACAGCAUCCGCAACCAACGGGAGCACCUCGUCCUCCUCCUCGCCAACGCGCAAAUGCGAACCCAACCGCCGCCGGAAGACAUCGACGUCCUCGAUGCCAAGGUCGUCCGCCGCGUCCGCAAGAAACUCCUCCACAACUACACCGCAUGGUGCUCUUAUCUUGGCCGCAAGUCCAACGUCUGGAUCGCCGUUUCCGGCAUCCGCCGCGCCGCCCCGGACCCGCGCCGCGAGCUCCUCUAUGCCGCCCUCUACCUCCUCAUCUGGGGCGAGGCAGCUAACGUCCGUUUCGUUCCCGAAUGCCUCUCCUACAUCUUCCACCACAUGGCCAUGGACCUCAACCGCAUUCUCGAGGAUUACAUGGACGAGGCGACGGGCCAGCCUGCUCUCCCCGCUACAUCUGGCGAGAACGCUUUCCUCGCCCGCGUCGUCACCCCUAUCUACGAGACCAUCAAGCGCGAGGUCGACGCCAGUCGCAACGGCACAGCGCCUCAUUCCGCCUGGCGCAACUAUGAUGAUAUCAACGAGUACUUUUGGAACAGCCACUGCUUCGAGCGCCUCCGUUGGCCGCUCGACAGGUCUAAGAACUUCUUCGCCACUCCGCCCACCAAGAACCGCGUGGGGAAGACGGGCUUCGUGGAGCAGCGCUCUUUCUGGAAUCUCUACCGCAGUUUUGAUCGCCUCUGGGUCAUGCUCGUCCUCUUGCUUCAGGCAGCCAUCAUCGUCGCGUGGCAUGGCAACAAGACGUACCCGUGGCAGAACCUCCAAACCCGAAAUGACCAGGUCCGCCUCCUGACCAUCUUCAUUACCUGGGCUGGCCUCCGCUUGCUCCAGUCGCUUCUCGACGUGGGCACCCAGUACAAGCUUGUCUCGCGUGAGACCAGAUUGCUCGGUGUGCGAAUGGUGCUCAAAAUAUUCGUUGCUGCGUCGUGGACGGUCGCAUUCACGAUCCUAUACUCUCGGAUGUGGAAGCAGAGGAACCAAGACAGAGUGUGGUCGACUGCAGCGAACCGGCGGCUGAUGAACAUUUUGGAGGCUGCCGCAGUGUUUAUCCUCCCUGAACUGCUUGCCAUCGUACUCUUCAUCAUCCCUUGGCUCCGAAACUUCAUUGAGAAGACCAAUUGGAGGAUUCUUUAUGUUCUCACCUGGUGGUUCCAGAGUCGCACCUUCGUUGGUAGAGGGCUACGUGAAGGUCUGUUGGACAACCUUAAGUAUGCUCUUUUCUGGGUUGCACUCCUUGCUGUAAAGUUCAUCUUCAGCUACUUCUUGCAAAUCAAGCCAAUGAUCUCCCCUACCAAAGCCAUACUUAAUCUUCGAGGUGUUCAAUACCAGUGGCAUGAGUUUUUCUCCCAUACUUCCAGGUUUGCAGUGUUCAUUUUGUGGCUUCCUGUUGUUCUGAUUUAUCUAAUGGACAUUCAGAUCUGGUACUCGAUCUUCUCUUCAAUGGUUGGGGCGCUAGUAGGCCUGUUCUCACACCUAGGUGAGAUUCGUGAUGUGCAACAAUUGAGGCUGAGGUUCCAGUUUUUUGCUAGUGCCUUGCAGUUCCAUCUGAUGCCAGAAGAACAGGUUUUUCAGCAGCAUGGCUCGCUACGAAGUAGAUUCAGAGACGCUGUAAACCGGUUGAAGCUGAGGUAUGGCUUGGGCCGCCCAUACAACAAGAUAGAAUCAAAUCAAGUUGGUCCUAGCAGGUUUGCAUUGAUAUGGAAUGAGAUCAUUCACACAUUCAGAGAAGAGGAUAUUGUGAACGAUCGUGAAGUGGAGCUUCUUGAUCUCCCUCCAAAUGCAUGGGAUAUCCGAGUGAUCAGGUGGCCGUGCUUAUUACUCUGCAAUGAACUGCUUCUGGCUCUUGGACAAGCAAAGGAAUAUAAGAACAAUGACAGAAGACUCUGGAGGAAGAUUUGCAAAAAUGAAUAUAGGCGUUGUACAGUCAUUGAGGCUUAUGACAGCAUUAAAUAUUUGCUCCUCGAGAUCAUCAAAGUGGGAACUGCAGAACACUCCAUUGUUACUGGAUUAUUUGAUGAGUUUGAUGGCAGCAUUCGCGCGGAGAAGUUCACAGUAGAAUAUAAUAUGAGCGUGUUGCAGAAUAUCUAUGACAAACUGGUUGUCCUACUGAGCACAUUAGUCAAGCCAAAUAAAGAUCUGUACAAAGUGGUCAACACACUGCAAACCCUGUAUGACAUAGUUACACGUGAUUUCCCUAAAAACAAGAAGAGCAUAGAGAAACUUAAAGAAGCAGGUUUGGCACCAACUGGAUCAACUGAGUUGCCCUUUGAGAAUGCUGUUGUGCUUCCGGCUGCAGAAAAUGAUACCUUCUAUAGGCAGAUAAGGAGACUACACACAAUACUUACAUCUAAGGAUUCCAUGAAUAACAUUCCAAAGAAUCUUGAGGCACGAAGACGCAUUGCAUUCUUCAGCAAUUCAUUGUUCAUGAACAUGCCUCGAGCUCCCCAGGUUGAAAAGAUGCGGGCUUUCAGUGUGCUGACUCCAUAUUACAACGAGGAAGUUUUGUACAGCAAGGAACAGCUUCAGUCAGAAAAUGAGGAUGGCAUCUCCAUCAUGUUUUAUUUGCAAAAGAUUUAUGAAGAUGAAUGGGUAAACUUCUUGGAACGCAUGAAGAGAGAGGGAAUGACUGAUGAGGAGGAGCUAUGGGGUAAAAGAUCAAGGGAUCUCCGACUUUGGGCCUCAUAUAGGGGGCAGACCUUGUCAAGGACGGUGCGGGGAAUGAUGUACUACUACAAAGCUCUUAAGAUGCUUGCAUUUCUUGAUUCUGCUUCUGAGAUUGACAUAAGGGAAGGAUCAAGGGAACUAGCUUCAGUUGGUUCCUCGAGGAGGCAAAUAGAAGACUUAGAUAACUUGGAGGAUGGUGGUAAGUCAUCGCCAUCCCAAAAUCUAAGUAGAGCUAGCAGCAGCAUGUUGUUGUUUAAAGGUCACGAACAUGGAACUGCUCUGAUGAAGUAUACUUAUGUGGUUGCUUGCCAGAUUUAUGGAAACCAGAAAGCUAAGAAUGACCCACGUGCCAAUGAUAUUUUGUACCUGAUGAAGAGCAAUGAAGCCCUCCGAGUUGCUUAUGUUGAUGAAGUGAAGUCAGGCAGAGAUGAAGUGGAAUAUUUUUCUGUUCUUGUUAAAUAUGAUCAACAACUGGAGAAAGAAGUGGAGAUAUACAGGGUCAAGCUGCCUGGGCCUCUAAAGCUUGGAGAAGGCAAGCCAGAGAACCAGAACCAUGCCCUUAUCUUCACAAGGGGUGAUGCAGUGCAAACAAUUGAUAUGAACCAAGACAACUACUUUGAGGAGGCCCUCAAAAUGCGCAAUCUGUUAGAAGAAUACUCAUCCAACUAUGGAGCCCGAAAACCAAAUAUCUUGGGAGUUCGUGAACAUGUUUUUACUGGUUCUGUUUCUUCUCUGGCUUGGUUCAUGUCAGCUCAGGAAACAAGCUUUGUCACCCUUGGACAGAGGGUUCUGGCAAACCCUUUAAAGGUACGGAUGCAUUAUGGCCAUCCUGAUGUCUUUGAUCGCCUUUGGUUUUUAAGUCGAGGAGGCAUUAGUAAGGCUUCAAGGGUCAUCAAUAUUAGUGAGGAUAUAUUUGCAGGAUUUAAUUGUACACUUCGCGGCGGCAAUGUUACCCAUCAUGAAUAUAUACAGGUUGGUAAAGGUCGAGAUGUGGGCCUGAAUCAAAUAUCUAUGUUUGAAGCCAAAGUUGCUAGUGGUAAUGGCGAACAGACCUUAAGCAGAGAUGUUUAUAGGUUAGGCCAUAGGUUAGAUUUCUUCCGGAUGCUCUCUUUCUUUUACACAACUGUGGGUUUCUAUUUUAACACAAUGAUGGUGGUACUGACUGUCUAUGCUUUUGUCUGGGGUCGCCUUUAUCUGGCUCUCAGUGGCCUUGAGAGUUCCAUCAGAAGCAAUGCUGACUCUACAAAUAAUGCAGCUCUUGGUACUGUUCUCAAUCAGCAAUUCAUUAUUCAGCUUGGGCUUUUUACUGCAUUGCCAAUGAUCAUAGAAAACUCACUUGAGCACGGGUUUCUUCCUGCGAUCUGGGACUUCUUGACAAUGCAGUUACAGCUUGCAUCAGUGUUCUAUACUUUCUCAAUGGGAACUAAGACCCAUUACUAUGGGCGAACUAUUCUUCAUGGAGGUGCAAAAUAUCGGGCUACCGGACGUGGUUUUGUUGUUGAACACAAGAAAUUUACUGAGAAUUAUAGACUUUAUGCACGCAGCCAUUUCAUAAAAGGAAUAGAACUAGGGAUAGUAUUGACCUUGUAUGCUGCCUAUAGUGCCAUUGGGAAGAAUACAUUUGUUUACAUAGUAAUGACCAUCUCAAGCUGGUUUUUGGUCGUAUCAUGGAUCAUGGCUCCAUUUGCAUUCAAUCCGUCUGGUUUUGAUUGGUUGAAAACUGUCUAUGACUAUGAUGAUUUUAUGAACUGGAUUUGGUAUCCUAGUCUUAUUUCUGCAACAUCUGAUCAAUCUUGGGAGAAAUGGUGGAAUGAAGAAAAUGAUCAUCUUCGGACAACUGGUCUUUGGGGGAAAUUAUUGGAGAUCAUAUUAGAUCUCCGUUAUUUCUUUUUCCAGUAUGGUAUUGUGUAUCAGCUAAACAUUGCAAGUCAUAGCCACAGUGUUUCUGUGUAUCUUCUUUCUUGGAUAGGCAUCUUUGCUGCCCUUGGCAUUUUUGUCAUCAUGGAUUAUGCUCAGGAUAGAUAUGCUGCCAAGGAACACUUGACAUAUCGGGGCAUUCAAUCUUUCAUAAUAGUCUUUCUGAUACUUGUCAUCAUUGUAUUGCUGCAGUUCACUUCCUUCAAAAUUGUUGAUUUCUUUACAAGCCUGUUAGCAUUCAUUCCUACUGGCUGGGGUUUAAUCUCAAUUGCUCAGGUUUUCAAACCAUUCCUUCAAUCUACUGUUCUAUGGGAAUCUGUGGUUGCUGUGGCUCGGUUAUAUGAAAUAAUGUUUGGAGUAAUUGUAAUGGCUCCUGUGGCAUUCCUAUCCUGGUUGCCUGGUUCCCAGGAAAUGCAGACAAGAGUGCUCUUUAAUGAAGCAUUUAGUCGAGGUCUCCAGAUAUCACGAAUACUUAAUGCGAAAAAGUCUACUGACAUUUGAGGUUAACGUCUAGUUCAUGCUUGCUUAGCGGAGAUACAUUUGCGCGGCUAGAAUUUUCUCCAUUGUUACUGGUGGGGGAAUGCAUAGUGUAGGAGGUUAGGAACUUGGGUUGCACAUUUCCAGAUCUUGAACAGCUUGUUGGACAUCUUGGAACAGCUUUAGGAGAAAGAAGUAACUCGAGGAAGGUUGUCUAGCAUUUCAGACCACUUUGGGAAAAAGCUUGUCUAAUUUUUCAGUAUAAAGAAACACACUUGACUAACUGAUGCCUUCGGUUUGAGCCGACAAACACAGUUCGACCUGCUAUUUUCCAAAGAAUUCAUUGAAUUGGAUAAAUGAGGCUCGAGUAUUGCUAGGGGGAUAAGAUUUUGUCCAAAGGAACCAUGUGUAUAUAUACUUGACCAUUGAGGGAGAUUAAUGCACUCUAACUCAUCUUGCCCGCCUAAUUGGUUUGGCCAUUCAACUCA